rnacentral:rRNA from 1 species
CAGUAGCCGCGGGAAUACGUAGGUGGCGAGCGUCGUCCGGAAUCAUUGGGCGUAAAGGGAGCGCAGGCGGGCAUGUAAGUCUUUCUUAAAAGUGCGGGGCUCAACCCCGUGAUGGGAAAGAAACUACAUGUCUUGAGUACAGGAGAGGAAAGCGGAAUUCCCAGUGUAGCGGUGAAAUGCGUAGAUAUUGGGAGGAACACCAGUGGCGAAGGCGGCUUUCUGGACUGCAACUGACGCUGAGGCCCGAAAGCCAGGGGAGCGAACGGGAUUAGAUACCCCUGUAGUCCCUGUCUCUUAUACA